rnacentral:lncRNA from 1 species
GUAGUCCAGCUUGUGACAUCUAAGUGUCGGUGGUAGCUCGAGCAUUCCCACUCUAGGAAUGAGUCUAUCCCUCCCGACCCCGUAGGUUUCUCGAUACCGCACGAGCGAGCAUAAGUCGCGUAGGCCAACUCCGGAGUGCCGGCUUGUAGGGAGCGACCCUCACAAGCAUGUGCGAAUGAGCACAAAUGGCAAACAAGCGUAAUCAUCGUCUCAAGUACCCAAUCAUCAUGUCUCUAACAUGGUAAUAGUCACUAGCAUCUCAAUGAUCUAGCUCUAGGUCACAAUGUGAAGUUCCAAUAUUUACUAAG